UACGUAGGUGGCAAGCGAUACUCGGAAUCACUAGGCGUAAAGCGCAGGUAGGCGGUUUGGUAAGUCUUUUGUGAAAGCUCCCGGCUUAACUGGGAGAGGUCAAGGGAAACUACCGGACUAGAGUGUGGUAGGGGAUACUGGAAUUCCUGGUGUAGCGGUGAAAUGCGUAGAGAUGUGGAGGAACACCAAUGGCGAAGGCAGCCUUCUGGGCCAACACUGACGCUCAUGCACGAAAGCGUGGGGAGCAAACAGG
rnacentral:rRNA from 1 species